rnacentral:rRNA from 1 species
UACAGAGGGUGCGAGCGUUAAUCGGAAUGACUGGGCGUAAAGGGCGCGUAGGUGGUUUGUUAAGAUCGAUGUGAAAUCCCUGGGCUUAACCUAGGAAGGCCAUUGAAGACUGGCAAGCUGGAGUACUGUAGAGGGUAGUGGAAUUUCCGGUGUAGCGGUGAAAUGCGUAGAGAUCGGAAGGAACACCAGUGGCGAAGGCGGCUACCUGGACAGAUACUGACACUGAGGCGCGAGAGCGUGGGGAGCAAAC